UGCCCUCUGUCCGCCCCACGGCACUCUGGGAAAUGGAGUGUGCUGGGUUGAACUGACCUAUGAACUGCAGGCAAGACGGAAAUUCAUGCCUAUGGGUGAAAUUACCAAUUUAUACUCUGCACUCCUUUUUUCCACACUGACCUUGAUGGAGGAAUCCAAAUGACAGAGUGGUCAGGGGGAUCCCAGGGUCCAGAUGGGUGAGGCAGCCGCUGGGAUGUUUCCAUGGCGUCUGUCCUGGAGGUGUGUGGAAAUGUUCAUGAGGGCAUCCACUUACUAAUAGUCUUGGAAGGCUCUGAGUAAGCCAAGAAACAACUUCUC